ACGUUAACGAACGAGACCUUAACCUGCUAACUAGCGACGCGAGCCCUUGUGGCUGGUGGUCCGCUUCUUAGAGGGACUGUCGAUGUCUAAUCGACGGAAGUUUGAGGCAAUAACAGGUCUGUGAUGCCCUUAGAUGUUCUGGGCCGCACGCGCGCUACAAUGACGGAGCCAGCGAGUUGUUCACCUUGGCCGGAAGGUCCGGGGAAUCUUGUGAAACUCUGUCGUGCUGGGGAUAGUCCAUUGCAAUUAUUGGACUUGAACGAGGAAUUCCUAGUAAGCGCAAGUCAUCAGCUUGCGUUGAUUACGUCCCUGCCCUUUGUACACACCGCCCGUCGCUAAUACCGAUUGAAUGGCUG
rnacentral:rRNA from 1 species